ACUAAACAGGAUUCUCUUAGUAACGGCGAGUGAAAAGAGAUUAGCCCAACAUCGAAGCCACCAUGCAUUUGUGUGGAAGGCAAUGUGAUGUUAAGGUGUUCAAUUUUGCUGACUGACCGACUUGAAGUCCAUAUUUGACUGUGGCUUGUGCGUAUGCACCCAGAGAUGGUGAAAGGCCCGUUCAGGUUGGUAUUCAGACAUGACAGUCUUGCAUAAAGUUGUCCACUUUGGAGUCGGAUUGCUUGAGAGUGCAGUCCAAAAUUGGUGGUAAACUCCAUCUAAGGCUAAAUACCUGUACGAGUCCGAUAGUCGACAAGUACCGUGAGGGAAAGUUGAAAAGUACUCUGAAGAGAGAGUAAAUAGUACGUGAAACUACGUGGAGGUUAAACGGAUAGAGUCAAGCUGCGU
rnacentral:rRNA from 1 species